GCCGGCAGCAACAUAAGGUCAUUGCUCUAAAAAGGUACUGGUCAGUGCCCUAGAGGUACAAAGAAUGGGAAUUUUUUUAAUCAGGGUAACAUGAGGAAGAAUUUGGUUAUUUCUUUUCUCUUUUUUGUUUGGAGUUUGGUACAUACCAUCUUCUUGUCAUUAUUUCAGGGUUUAAGAUAAUUGUUUUGCCCCACCUAUAGCACCUAUAGAAAGUAGUGAACAGGAGAGGGAGAAUGAAAAUUGGCUUGUACCAUCUUUUAUGGCUACAGAAAGGCUAACUUUAGCUUUGGCUUUCGUGGAUUGUAAACGUGUGCUGGCACCUGUGAGGUGUGCAGAGGACUUGGGAGGUUUUCUCCGAGCUUGUCAAGAGGUGGGAACUGAGCUUCAUUGCUCUGCAGUAUUGACUCAGGAAAUGGCUACUUUGGUAACUGACAGAUCUAAAAGAAGCCAAGGGUCAAACCCUAAAGUGGGAAAGUGUUAUAAGUAUAGAAAAAUUGGACACUUCAAAAAAGAAGGCUGCCAGACCUCUGGGAAAAAGGGAUCUUAUAGUUCCCAUCUUAACAGAAAAAACACCAGGACUUUGCCCUCCUUGUAAUAGUGGAAAUCACUGGGCUAAUCAAUGCCACUCAAAAUUUCAUCAAAGUGGCAUCCCCCUGUUGGGAAACGAGAAGGGGGUCUGGACCCAGGUACCUCAAACUAUGAAGGCAUUCCCUGUCCAGGCCACAACUUCAUCUCAGGGUGGGUUUCCGGAGGCACAUUGGUUCCCUCUCCCUGGGAACACCUGGAAACACAGUAUUAGCUCUCCUAGAUAGAGAACAAAUUAUGUUAACUAGAGGAAACAAACUCACUAAGAUUCCCAUUGGUAUUUGGGGAUCUUUGCCAACAAGAUACAUGGGAUUGAUUUUGGUAAAAGCUGUCUUACAGGCCCAGGAGUUGUUGAUUUUGAUCGUGAAGGAGAAAUUCAGGUAGUGGUAAUGUCACAAGAUCUUUGGGUUUUUGAAACGGGAGAGUGUAUUGCUCAGUUGUUGCUUAUUCCCUGUAAAUUGUAUCGUUCUCUACCCAAGAAGAAAGAGGAGGUCAGGGAUUUGGAAGCACACCUAAGAGAUUUAUCUAUCACAAUGCAUAGCAUCUCACAGACCCACUUGUGCAGUGUAGAUUGAAGAAAAGUUUUGUGGGCUUAUGGAUACGGGAGCAAGAGACUGGUCUCUCGUGGUAAUAGAUCUUGAAGAUUAUUUACGAGAAGGAGAAGUCUUCAUUUGCUUUUUCUGUGUCUUCUGUUAAUCAGAAAGAUCCUGUCUCUUCUGUGGAAAGUUUUACCCUGCAGUAAUUAACCAAAGAGGCAGAAGCUGAGUUUUACAGCUUGUAGAACAAAUGCUCAGCAACGGCAUGCCUCCUGGCUACAGCCACAAGAGCCUUUGCCUUUGUUUCAGUAGAUUUACUAACGUGGGGAUGAGGGUAUGCUUGUGUCCUUACAGAAGAUGAACAAACCAUGUGGGUGCCCUCAAGGUGUGUAUGACCAUGGAAUGGGAGACUGGAAGGACCCAUGGAUCCCAACCAUGGACCUGGUUCCCCAGUAUGAGCCAUGAACCACUUGAAUUUGAAUGCGAAGAUGAAACGAGGACCAACCGGAGUCAUGCUGACAUCAACCCCGAUAACAUGGGGACAGAUCAGGAAAACCACACAGGAAGCUGAGAAACUGCUGGAGUGCCAGGGUUUCACCUUUUGCUGGAACUCAGAGCUUGGUGGACAGCCUGUGGAUAAAGUGAAGGUAAAUGCUGUCUAAAAUGAGGAGAGGACACACACAAACACACUGAAAAGAAGUCCGUCUGAAGGUGUAGACAGAGACUCAAGUCAUGUUGCCAAAGACCAAGGAAUGUCAAGGAUAUCUGGGAGUCAGCAGAAGAAGCCAAACAUCAUUUUGUGAGGACACACAGGUACUUCGAAGAAGCCAGUAGACAUUUUGUAGGACAUACAGGCAGCCGAUGGAGAGGCCCACAUGUGGAAGAGCUAAGGCUACCUAAGUGAGCAACCACCAGAAUGAGCUUGGAAUGGCAUGCUCCAGCCUCAGUUGAAACUUCAAAUAAUGGCAGCCCCAGCUAACAGCUUGACUGUAACCUCAUGAGGACCCUGUGCCAGAACCAUGAGGCUAAGCUACUCCUGAUUCCUAACCCACAGAAACUGUGACAUAAUAAAUAUUUGUUAGCUUAAAUUGGUAAGUUUUACAGUAACUUAUUAUGCAGUCAUAGAUAACUAAUAUAAGUAGUUCAUUAGAAAAGUAAAUGGUAUCAAAGUAUAAUCAUAUAGGUGAUAAUAAAUCAUGUGUAUGUAUUUUUCACAUAACCCCCUGAAAUUCAUGACAUGAUAAUAUGAUGAGUAGGGAUUUAUGUCAUUUGUCUUUCUGUAUUAAAUAUUUUUACAAUUAGCUUCAUUUAACAGCUUUAUUGACAUGUAAUCAACAAACAAUAAAAUGUACAUAUGUUGAUGUUCUAUCUCCUAGUACCUGCAAGUGUGAGCUUAUUUACAAAUGAGACUUCUGCUUUCUACAUAGUUAGUUAAGAUUAGGUCAUAUUGCAGUAGAGUGGGCCCCUAUCUAAUAUGACUUGUGUCCUAAUUUAAAAAGUGAAAUUUGGAUAGAAAGACAGACAUACAGACAAGGAGAACACCAUGAGAAGUUGGAGCUCUGCUGCCAUAUGCUGAGGAACUACCAGAACCUAGGAAAGUGGCCUGGAACAGAUCUUUCCCUAGUGCCUUCACCCUACUGACACCUUGAUCUUGGACUUUUGGCCUCCAGAACUGUAAGACAAUAAAUUUCUGUUUUUUAAGACA